rnacentral:rRNA from 1 species
CGGCGGACGGGUUAGUAACGCGUGGGAAUAUACCCUUUGGUACGGAAUAGCCUCUGGAAACGGAGAGUAAUACCGUAUGAGCCCUUCGGGGGAAAGAUUUAUCGCCAAAGGAUUAGCCCGCGUUAGAUUAGGUAGUUGGUGGGGUAAUGGCCUACCAAGCCUACGAUCUAUAGCUGGUUUUAGAGGAUGAUCAGCAACACUGGGACUGAGACACGGCCCAGACUCCUACGGGAGGCAGCAGUGGGGAAUCUUGGACAAUGGGCGCAAGCCUGAUCCAGCCAUGCCGCGUGAGUGAUGAAGGCCUUAGGGUCGUAAAGCUCUUUCGCCUGUGAAGAUAAUGACGGUAGCAGGUAAAGAAACCCCGGCUAACUCCGUGCCAGCAGCCGCGGUAAUACGGAGGGGGUUAGCGUUGUUCGGAAUUACUGGGCGUAAAGCGCACGUAGGCGGACUGGAAAGUUGGGGGUGAAAUCCCAGGGCUCAACCCUGGAACUGCCUCCAAAACUAUCAGUCUAGAGUUCGAGAGAGGUGAGUGGAAUUCCGAGUGUAGAGGUGAAAUUCGUAGAUAUUCGGAGGAACACCAGUGGCGAAGGCGGCUCACUGGCUCGAUACUGACGCUGAGGUGCGAAAGUGUGGGGAGCAAACAGGAUUAGAUACCCUGGUAGUCCACACCGUAAACGAUGAAUGCCAGUCGUCGGGUAGCAUGCUAUUCGGUGACACACCUAACGGAUUAAGCAUUCCGCCUGGGGAGUACGGUCGCAAGA